AUGCAAGUCGAACGGUAGAGGGGGCAACCUCUCGAGAGUGGCGAACGGGUGAGUAAUAUAUCGGAACGUGCCCAGUCGUGGGGGAUAACGUAGCGAAAGUUACGCUAAUACCGCAUACGAUCUACGGAUGAAAGCGGGGGACUCGCAAGAGCCUCGCGCAAUUGGAGCGGCCGAUAUCAGAUUAGGUAGUUGGUGGGGUAAAGGCUCACCAAGCCAACGAUCUGUAGCUGGUCUGAGAGGACGACCAGCCACACUGGAACUGAGACACGGUCCAGACUCCUACGGGAGGCAGCAGUGGGGAAUUUUGGACAAUGGGGGAAACCCUGAUCCAGCAAUGCCGCGUGAGUGAAGAAGGCCUUCGGGUUGUAAAGCUCUUUUGUCAGGGAAGAAACACCGGCUCUAACACAGUCCGGGAAUGACGGUACCUGAAGAAUAAGCACCGGCUAACUACGUGCCAGCAGCCGCGGUAAUACGUAGGGUGCGAGCGUUAAUCGGAAUUACUGGGCGUAAAGCGUGCGCAGGCGGUUUUGUAAGUCAGAUGUGAAAUCCCCGGGCUCAACCUGGGAACUGCGUUUGAAACUACAAGGCUAGAGUAUGGUAGAGGGGGGUAGAAUUCCACGUGUAGCAGUGAAAUGCGUAGAGAUGUGGAGGAAUACCAAUGGCGAAGGCAGCCCCCUGGACUAAUACUGACGCUCAUGCACGAAAGCGUGGGGAGCAAACAGGAUUAGAUACCCUGGUAGUCCACGCCCUAAACGAUGUCUACUAGUUGUUGGGAGAGUAAAAUCUCUUAGUAACGCAGCUAACGCGUGAAGUAGACCGCCUGGGGAGUACGGUCGCAAGAUUAAAACUCAAAGGAAUUGACGGGGGCCCGCACAAGCGGUGGAUUAUGUGGAUUAAUUCGAUGCAACGCGAAAAACCUUACCUGGGCUUGACAUGU
rnacentral:rRNA from 1 species